ACGAACGCUGGCGGCGUGCCUAAUACAUGCAAGUCGAGCGAGCAAAUUUAACGGAAUACCUUCGGGUAGGAAGAUAAGUAAGCGAGCGGCGGAUGGGUGAGUAACACGUGGGGAACCUGCCCUAUAGUCUGGGAUACCAUUUGGAAACAGAUGCUAAUACCGGAUAAGAGCGAGAAGCGCAUGCUUCAAGUUUAAAAGGCGGCUUUUAAAGCUGUCGCUAAAGGAUGGCCCUGCGGUGCAUUAGCUAGUUGGUAAGGUAACGGCUUACCAAGGCAGUGAUGCAUAGCCGAGUUGAGAGACUGAACGGCCACAUUGGGACUGAGACACGGCCCAAACUCCUACGGGAGGCAGCAGUAGGGAAUCUUCCACAAUGGACGCAAGUCUGAUGGAGCAACGCCGCGUGAGUGAAGAAGGUUUUCGGAUCGUAAAGCUCUGUUGUUGGUGAAGAAGGACAGUAAGAGUAACUGCUUAUUGUUUGACGGUAAUCAACCAGAAAGUCACGGCUAACUACGUGC
rnacentral:rRNA from 1 species